rnacentral:rRNA from 1 species
CCUACGGGUGGCAGCAGUGGGGAAUUUUGCGCAAUGCUCGUAAGAGUGACGCAGCGACGCCGCGUGAAUGACGAAGGCCUUCGGGUCGUAAAGUUCUUUCGACAGGGAAGAAAAUGCCUAUAAGUAACUGUGUAUGUAUUGACGGUACCUGUAUAAGCAGCCCCGGCUAACUCCGUGCCAGCAGCCGCGGUAAUACGGAGGGGGCGAGCGUUGUUCGGAGUGACUGGGCGUAAAGAGCACGUAGGCGGUGUUGUAAGUCAUUAGUCAAAGCCUAGAGCUCAACUUUAGUAAGGCUAGUGAUACUAUAAUACGAGAGUAUCAGAGAGGGUUGCAGAAUUCCUGGUGUAGCGGGGAAAUGCGUAGAUAUCAGGAGGAAUACCGUUAGCGAAGGCGGCAAUCUGGCUGGAAACUGACGCUGAUGUGCGAAAGCGUGGGUAGCAAACAGGAUUAGAUACCCCUGUAGUC